UUCCUCUUCCCCUCCCCUGUUAUCAUUGCUAACUGUGUCAAAGGGACCCCUGAUCCCAACUCUGGUGAGUCUGUUGUCUCUCGAGAGCUUGAAGUCCCUCACAGAGAUGUCCCUUCCUACCAAGAGGAGUAUACUCCCAUUAAGCAGCACCCUCUUCUCAUGUACCUGAUGUGUUUUCCACCCACAGAUUCUUCAGAAGCCAACCCCAGAACUCAAGCAUCAGCUGGCUGCUUUCUCCAAAAGAGUUGCCGGUGCUGUGACUGAGCUCAUCCAGGCAGCAGAAGCCAUGAAAGGAACAGAGUGGGUGGAUCCAGAAGACCCAACCGUCAUUGCAGAAACCGAGUUACUGGGAGCUGCAGCAUCCAUUGAAGCCGCUGCCAAGAAGUUAGAGCAACUGAAGCCGAGAGCAAAGCCAAAGGUGAGUGUCCACCGGCCGUUGCCUCUCUCCCUGCGUUCCGUCUCCCUGCGGGUGACUGUGCAUCGGAGCUAAGUGUGAUACAGAGCUUUUCUCCCUCCCUGUCGUCACGUCAGGAAGCAGCAAACACGUUCUGCCUGCCCAGCACCACUUUACAGAGUGUGGGGGGAAGAAAACCAUGAGUGGAUCAAGUUAACUGCCAAGAAAAGUACAUCUGGUUAUUCUGAGGAGAAACAGAACAUCCACGUGUAAUUCCACCAUGUGAAGCAGGUUGUGGAUGUUUCCUGUCAAAUGUUCUUGUUAGGAGAUAGGAGAUCAAUAUAGCCUUCAGUUCACCAGUUUCUGUUCCACUUUUGAUACAGAAAUACAACACUGAGUAUCUUGUUUUCUUAGAAACGAC
rnacentral:lncRNA from 1 species